AAAAGUUCUAAUCAUCAUUUUACAGGAGUUUCUGAUUUAAGUUUAUCCCACAAAAUAAUUAAUAUUUCAUCAUUCAUGUCCUGAUUCAUUCCUAUCAACAAAGUCGUCCUAUGCAACCUCUCUAGGUUCUCAAAAUGUUAAUUGAUGAAAGAAACUGGGGAAAAAGAAACUUUUACACCAGUAAAUUAGUCUAAAUUUUCAAGAUGUUAUAAUCAUUAUUGAAGAUUUGGGAGAGGAAAAGCAAUUAGGUUAUGCCUCAGCAAAAUUUAGGCCAAAAAAUAUCAUUCUAAGCUAAGUUGCUUUAAGGAAACACCUCAAGUUCUUUACUUUCCCCAACUUUCCUAAGCAAUCAAAUUAAUGCACUCUACCUUGGCAAUUAAUCAGUUAAAAAGGAAAAGCUUACUGCAUAUGGUCUAAUGAGACCACCUAUUAACAUCUAUGAACUAUUGAAAAAGCAGUUCCAGGAAAAUUAAGCAUCGAAACAGGAUACAGUAUGUAAGCCAACUUUCCCGUUAUUAGUUCCCAGGAAUUGGUUCAAAAGGGCAAAAGGGUGCGGAGCGUAUCAAGAUGAGCAUUGAUCCUUUCUCUCCUCCUCCUCUCUGCCUCGCUAUGAUUCUUCAAAGCCGCUAUAAUUUUCUCUUCAGAAACGCUUUUCUUCUUUAAUUCCACCGGCGCCUUCACCAGCUCUCCUUUCUCAUGAUCCAAAACCAAGGACUGUGGCACCGGCACCGACAAAGACCCACCAUGGGAGCUUUCAUUGCAUAGACCCAAAUCGCGUGAAAAUGGAUCAAAGAUACCAGAAUAACAAUUCCCGGAUGAAAAGUUGUUGUUGAAAGAGUAAGCAGCCAUACAAAAA